CAUUGAGUAAUAUAUCAUGUGAUUUACAGUUUUUGUUUAUCAUUUAUGAUAGUGAGCUUUAGAAUCGAGUUUGGCAUUUACAAGUUUGCGAUAAGUACCUCAUAACAAGGACUGCAUUGGAGCCAUAGAUGGAACUCAUAGUCGUGUGAAGGUAUCAAGGGUGGAAGUCCCUCGUUUUCGGGGAAGAAAAGAUCAUCCAACACAAAAUAUUUUAGCUGCCUGUGGGUUUGAUAUGAAAUUCACGUAUGUCUUGGCUGGUUGGGAAGGAACUGCCUCUGACUCUAGAAUUUUGAAAGAUGCUUUAAGUAGGGAACAUCCACUUCGAAUACCCGAAGGAAAAUAUUAUCUAGGCGAUGCUGGAUUUAUGCUAAAGCCUGGGAUACUGACACCAUAUAGAGGUGUUCGGUAUCACUUGAAAGAGUAUUCAGUACGUGAGCUACAAAAUCCCAAAGAAUUAUUCAACCACCGACAUUCUUCA